rnacentral:rRNA from 1 species
UACGGAGGGGGCUAGCGUUGUUCGGAAUUACUGGGCGUAAAGCGCGCGUAGGCGGACCUGCAAGUCGGGGGUGAAAGCCCGAGGCUCAACCUCGGAACUGCCUUCGAUACUGCGGGUCUCGAGUCCGGGAGAGGUGAGUGGAAUUCCUAGUGUAGAGGUGAAAUUCGUAGAUAUUAGGAAGAACACCAGUGGCGAAGGCGGCUCACUGGCCCGGUACUGACGCUGAGGCGUGAAAGCUAGGGGAGCAAACGGG